GUCAGGGCUGAGGGGCUUGUCCCAGACUCCCCAUGUCCCCUCAACUCCUCAGAGGAGGGUGCAGAGGGAGUCCCCCCCCGACUUCUGACACCCACCACCCCAGCAACCUGCUCUUUCCUGCUUGGUGACCCAGCUCCAGCCCCAGCCUCAGGAGAGACCCCCAGCCGGGGCAGGAUAGAGAUGGGGCUGCAGAGCUUCCUACCUGCCUGGUGGGGAGGCAGCAGAAGGAUCUGGACAGGGUUGUCUGACACUCAGACAAAAUAACAAACCAGCUCAGUGCUCCUCAUCACCUCAGGGUGGCCCUUGGCAGCAGCCAUGUGCAGGACUGUCCUAGACUUAGGCUGGGCUGGUCACCUGCAAGGUGUCCCCCAGCCAUCCCCGGGGCAGCCUUGCUGGGAAAACUUGCAGUGAAGGAGUGAAGGGCGUGAGCCCUGGCCAGACUGCCUUUGUUGGAAUCCUGGCUCUGCCAUGGAUCUGCCGAGUCCCAGCCAGCCACUUUCCUCUCCAGGCCUCAGUUUCCUCAUCUGUCAAAUGGGAAUGGUAUGGUGCGCACCUGUAUGAGGGGUCGUGCGUGACAUGUGGAUUGUGCUGUCAGGAGCUCGGGAGUACGUGCCACGGGACAGCACUAGAGCCAUGCCAGCAUUCAGUGAGCUCUGUGGGGUGACAGGAAGCUCCCGAGGCCAGGCCUAGGGCUUCUGGCGCAUGGGCAGCGGAGUGGAGACAGCUUCCUCUUUUGAAAGGUUGGCAGGAGCAAGGUGGAGGCUGACGGAUGUAGGAGAAGAAGGUCUCACACAGUCUGGGGGGCAAGUGUGGGUGCCCUGAGGUGCCCAGGGAGGGGAGUGUAAGGCAGAGCAAACCCGGGAGGACCAUGAGUGCCAGGCGAGAAGCAGGGUGACUUUUGCCCUGAGGGUGAUAUGGCCAAGGGGGGUUUAAUGGGUGGGGCAGGAUCAGCUUAGGUGGCCCAGAUAUGAGGGGAGCCCAGCCUGGGAGCAUCUGGGGACAGUUUCUAGAAGACGUGAGUACUACAGCACUAAGAGUUUGCUAGAAGGGCAGGAAUGAAGGGCCCUCCCAGUACUCCUGGGCACCACAUGCAGAGGCCCGAAGGUGUGAAGACAGUGGUGAACUGUGUGGGGAAGGUGUGAAGACAGUGGUGAACUGUGGGGAAGGUGUGAAGACGGUGGCAAACUGUGUGGGGAAGGUGUGAAGAUGGUGGUGAACUGUGUGGGGAAGGUGUGAAGAUGGUGAACUGUGUGGGAAAGGUGUGAAGAUGGCGGUGAACUGUGUGGGGAAGAUGUGAAGAUGGCAGUGAACUGUGUGGGAAAGGUGUGAAGACGGUGAACUGUGUGGGGAAGGUGUGAAGACGGUGGUGAACUGUGUGGAGAAGGUGUGAAGACAGUGAACUGUGUGGGGAAGGUGUGAAGAUGGUGUUGAACUGUGUGGGGCAGGUGUGAAGAUGGUGUUGAACUGUGUGGGGCAGGUGUGAAGAUGGUGUUGAACUUUGUGGGGCAGGUGUGAAGACGGUGGUGAACUGUGUGGGGCAAGUGUGAAGACGGUGCUGAACUAUGUGGGGAAGGAGGAGGCGAGUGCCAGCAGCAGAAGCCGGGGCAGCUGAGGGCCCACCAGUGCCCUGGGUGUGCUGAGGGGUCGGGAUGAGGUCUGAGCAGGUCGCCCCUGGGAGCUAGAAGGGCUCCUCUGGGGAUGAGUCUGGAGGCUUCUCAUGGGUGGGGGCCGUGAGGACAAGAGGGCAGUGCCUGCACGUGGCAGCUGCAGGCGCCUGCUGGACACAGGGCACCUCCUCUCUCUGAGGUGUGCCGCCAUCUGUAGGAAAACCAGCAAGCGCUUCCACGAGCCCUCGGUGCCCGCCUGGGCACUGAGCUCCUGACAGCUGUUCAUGGUGGUAUUGCUGUGGGGGACGUGUGCUCCACCCCUCCCCUGCAGCCUCCUUCCCUCCUUGCAG